AUCAAUGCAUCUAGCAAUAACUGUCCAAUCACCGUAGGAUGUUACUCUUAAAAGUAACAUAUAAAAGUUGGAUAUGAUCAUUGUGGCAACACGUAUGCAUUACUGGCCUUUAUGGCCAUAAGGUGGGCUAUAUGUGUAAGGACCCUGCAGCCAUUUCCAUGAUCGUGGUUGCACUCCCCCCCCCCUCCAGCAGCUAUGAUUGCAAAAAUGGGGCACUACACCUCUCUGUGUUUACAUUGUCUCAGAAUACCUAUUGCUGUGUACCUUGUGGUGCAGUAGUUAAAAUGCAAUACUUCAGCCAACAUUCUGCUCAUGGCCUGGGUUUACUAAGCCUUCCAUCCUUUCAAUGUUGGUAAAUUGAGUACCCAGUUCAUUGGGGGGACAAUGUGUAGCCUACAUCACUAAAUUGCAAACCACUCAAGAGAGUGCUUUAAGUGCUACUGGAUGGUAUAUAAGCAGUACACGUUGCUUUCCCCCCUGCUUUACUUAGCUGACUUAAAAGAGGCACUGGGUCUAUGCCCCAAAGGGAGAUCAGCCUACAGUCUGAGAGGCAGCAGGGCUUUUUGUAAAGGGGGAGGAGGCAGGAAUCACACUGGUGAAAACUUCACAGACCUUGUUCAUUAUCUUGCCAGAAGGUGGAGAUGUCCCAACAGGCCUGGAUCUAUAUCGAUGAGAAGAGGAGGACCAGAUCAGGAGUUUUGUAAAGGAGUUCAUGAAUAUUGUCUUCCUCACCAUCUAGCCAUGAAGAAGGAACUGGACUCAUAUUCAAAAGAAAUGAGGGAAAAGUCCUUUUAGAAAAGUCUGCUUCAGAGACCAACAUACCUGAGGAGUCUGGUAACCUUUUCACAUAAGCUUUUGUUUCACCCAUGUAAGUGUAAUUAAGUUCUGCUUAGGCUACAAGAUAGGGCAUAUUAAGUAAUGUUGGAGGU
ensembl:lncRNA